CAAUCUGUAAAGAAAGGGAAGAGGCAAAAGACAAAGAGAAAGAAAGAGAAAUAAGGGAAAGAGGAAUGAAGAGGCAGAAAAGAAAGAGAAAAUAAAAUACCUGGCUGUUUUGUUCUUCUUUCUUUUCUCCAUCUUCCUCCACCCUCUUCCUCUUUGCUGGUGGUUCUGUCAUCUCUUCCUUCUUCUCUUCUUUCACAAACAGAUUUGUGGGGGACUUGUGACACACCACACGGGGGAACACGACCUCGAGGUCCUGUUCUUUUAGAAAUUAGAAAAAUGGAUCUUUCUGAAGGUUUU
rnacentral:RNase_P_RNA from 13 species